UGUCUACUUCACUCCCUUCUUAGUGAGUCA
rnacentral:piRNA from 1 species